rnacentral:lncRNA from 1 species
CGAGAGGUAUUAUUGUUCUGCUCAUUUUCAAUCGAUCAAAGACUGGCUCGGAUGGAAAUCGAUGGGCUAAGGGAUCCGAAGAUAACUCAAUGAGCUACGGAGGUCCCAUAGGUUGUCCUCCAUAGGAAUACGACUCAGAGAAAAACUUGAAGAGCUGAUCUGGAUAGAGAUCGACGGGUUGGAGGAUCCAGAGAUAACUCG